UGGAGUAGAAAAUGCAGUCGU
rnacentral:miRNA from 1 species